rnacentral:rRNA from 1 species
AGAGUUUGAUCCUGGCUCAGGACGAACGCUGGCGGCGCGCCUAACACAUGCAAGUCGAACGAGAGAGAGGGAGCUUGCUUCCUCAAUCGAGUGGCGAACGGGUGAGUAACGCGUGAGGAACCUGCCUCAAAGAGGGGGACAACAGUUGGAAACGACUGCUAAUACCGCAUAAGCCCACGACCCGGCAUCGGGAAGAGGGAAAAGGAGCAAUCCGCUUUGAGAUGGCCUCGCGUCCGAUUAGCUAGUUGGUGAGGUAACGGCCCACCAAGGCGACGAUCGGUAGCCGGACUGAGAGGUUGAACGGCCACAUUGGGACUGAGACACGGCCCAGACUCAUACGGGAGGCAGCAGUGGGGAAUAUUGCACAAUGGGGGAAACCCUGAUGCAGCGACGCCGCGUGGAGGAAGAAGGUCUUCGGAUUGUAAACUCCUGUUGUUGAGGAAGAUAAUGACGGUACUCAACAAGGAAGUGACGACUAACUACGUGCCAGCAGCCGCGGUAAAACGUAGGUCACAAGCGUUGUCCGGAAUUACUGGGUGUAAAGGGAGCGCAGGCGGGCGAUCAAGUUGGAAGUGAAAUCCAUGGGCUCAACCCAUGAACUGCUUUCAAAACUGGUCGUCUUGAGUAGUGCAGAGGUAGGCGGAAUUCCCGGUGUAGCGGUGGAAUGCGUAGAUAUCGGGAGGAACACCAGUGGCGAAGGCGGCCUACUGGGCACCAACUGACGCUGAGGCUCGAAAGUGUGGGUAGCAAACAGGAUUAGAUACCCUGGUAGUCCACACCGUAAACGAUGAUUACUAGGUGUUGGGGAUUGACCCUCUCAGUGCCGCAGUUAACACAAUAAGUAAUCCACCUGGGGAGUACGACCGCAAGGUUGAAACUCAAAGGAAUUGACGGGGGCCCGCACAAGCAGUGGAGUAUGUGGUUUAAUUCGACACAACGCGAAGAACUUUACCAAGUCUUGACAUCCCUUGACGAUGCUGGAAACAGUAUUUCUCUUCGGAGCAAGGAGACAGGUGGUGCAUGGUUGUCGUCAGCUCGUGUCGUGAGAUGUUGGGUUAAGUCCCGCAACGAGCGCAACCCUUAUGGUCAGUUACUACGCAAGAGGACUCUGGCCAGACUGCCGUUGACAAAACGGAGGAAGGUGGGGAUGACGUCAAAUCAUCAUGCCCUUUAUGACUUGGGCUACACACGUACUACAAUGGCGUUAAACAAAGAGAAGCAAGACCGCAAGGUGGAGCAAAACUCAGAAACAACGUCCCAGUUCGGACUGCAGGCUGCAACUCGCCUGCACGAAGUCGGAAUUGCUAGUAAUCGUGGAUCAGCAUGCCACGGUGAAUACGUUCCCGGGCCUUGUACACACCGCCCGUCACACCA